GGAUGCGAUCAAACCAGCACUAAAGCAUCGGAUCCCAUCAGAACUCUGAAGUUAAGCGUGCUUGGGCGAGAGUAGUACUAGGAUGGGUGACCUCCUGGGAAGUCCUCGUGUUGCAUUCC
rnacentral:rRNA from 1 species